AGCUGACAAAGCCACAACCGUCGCGAGGCGGUGUCGGAAAGCCACGGAUCUCCCCAUAAAGGAGACCGCCGGGUUACCUGC
rnacentral:ncRNA from 1 species